ACGUCCUGACCUGUAAUCCUCGCUGGACUCAGAAGACAUCUGGUCAACUUGGUCCGCAAUCCUCGCUCCCACGGUCCGGAUAACUCUAAGACUCGUGGGGCAAAAUAUGCUAGAAAAACUUAAGAUAUUUAAUACUAUAUAAAAUAAUAAAAGAUAAAGAUAAAUAAACCUACUAAAAUAAAAUAAAAUAAAUAAAUAAACCUACUCAAGUAAAGUUCAUAAAUAAAUAAAUAAAUAUAUUAAUACCGUCAAUUCCAUAUAUGCCAUCAAUUCCAUAUAUCCGUCAAUUCCAAUAAUACUCCAUCAAUUCCAAUGUUAG
rnacentral:lncRNA from 1 species